GGCUCAAUGGUCUAGUGGUAUGAUUGCUGCUUCGGGUGUGGCAGGCCCCGGGUUCAAAUCCCGGUUGAGCCC
rnacentral:tRNA from 2 species